GUCGCUCAUGCGCGGGGCGGGACCUCGCGGGGCGCGGGAAAGAGGCAGAGCGCGCGCAGGUGUGAGGGGCGGCGACAUCUGUGGGGUUCAGAGCGUCUGUCAGUCACCGACGGGCUCCGGCUUCACGUGGGCUCUCGGCCUGUGGAGUCCUCACUUCUCGGUGGUCGGCGUAGUGUCAGUGUGGGGCUUGUCACCGGGAGCGGGGUCUACAGCGCCCACCCUCAGGCCUUUCCAUCUUUCACCUCCGGACUCGAGGCCUCCAGCGUUCUGUGAGGGCCAAUUUGGCCAUUUAUUUUUUCCAAAAAGAGUAACGCGGAUAAUUCAAGCGACUUAUUCCCAACUGAUCCAGGCAGAGCUCGUUUCUGAUAAGGACAGAGGGUCCUCAACGACUUCUGUGGCCCAGAUUUCUCAAGGGGAAGAUAAAAUGACUAAGAGGAAGAAGCUGCGGACCUCAGGAGAGGGACUCUGUCCUCCAAAACCCCUAAAGAACCCAAGGCUAGGAGACUUCUAUGGGGACCCCCAGAGUUCCAUGUUGGGCUGUUUACAUCACCCUGAGGAGCCAGAGGGCAAAUUGGGACCUGUUCCCUCUACACAGCAGCACGGGGAGGAACCAGGAAAGGCCGUCUCCAGCUCCCCUGAUGAGGAAACAGGAUCUCCCUGCCGGCUCCUCCGUCAACCAGAAAAGGAGCCAGCUCCCCUUCCUCCUUCCCAGAACUCAUUCGGGAGGUUUGUUCCCCAGUUUGCAAAAUCCAGGAAGACAGUGACAAGAAAAGAAGAGAUGAAGGAUGAGGACCGUGGGAGUGGGGCCUUUAGCCUGGAAACAAUCGCAGAGUCCAGCGCCCAGAGUCCAGGAUGCCAGCUGCUAGUGGAGACCCUGGGGGUCCCCCUCCAGGAGGCCACGGAGCUGGGGGACCCAACGCAGGCAGACAGUGCCCGCCCUGAGCAGAGCAGCCAGAGCCCUGUGCAGGCGGUGCCCGGCAGUGGGGAUUCUCAGCCUGAUGACCCUCCAGACAGGGGGACGGGGUUGUCCGCCUCACAGAGGGCCAGCCAAGACCACCUGUCAGAACAAGGGGCCGAUGACAGCAAGCCUGAGACAGACAGGGUUCCAGGUGACGGUGGCCAAAAGGAACACCUACCAAGCAUUGAUUCUGAAGGGGAGAAGCCAGACAGAGGAGCCCCCCAGGAGGGAGGGGCCCAAAGGACAGCAGGGGCUGGCCUGCCUGGAGGGCCCCAGGAGGAGGGAGACGGUGUCCCCUGUACCCCAGCAUCAGCUCCUACCUCAGGCCCUGCUCCAGGACUGGGCCCUGCCUCUUGGUGCCUGGAACCCGGGUCUGUGGCCCAGGGCUCCCCUGACCCCCAGCAGACCCCCAGCAGGAUGGGUAGGGAAGGGGAAGGGACUCAUAGCAGCCUGGGAUGCUCCUCCCUCGGGAUGGUUGUCAUCGCAGACCUGAGCACAGACCCCACUGAGCUGGAAGAGAGGGCUCUGGAGGUGGCUGGGCCCGAUGGGCAGGCCAGUGCCAUAUCACCUGCCUCUCCCAGGAGGAAGGCCGCUGAUGGAGGCCACAGGAGGGCCUUGCCAGGCUGCACCUCGCUCACUGGGGAAACCACAGGAGAAAGUGGGGAGGCAGGGCAGGAUGGCAAGCCCCCCGGCGAUGUCCUAGUGGGCCCUACAGCCUCCCUGGCUCUGGCACCUGGGAGCGGAGAGUCCAUGAUGGGUGCUGGAGAUUCCGGUCAUGCAUCCCCGGACACAGGUCCAUGUGUCAAUCAGAAGCAGGAGCCAGGUCCUGCUCAAGAGGAAGCCGAGUUAGGUGGCCAGAACCUCGAACGAGACCUCGAGGGGUUCCGUGUGUCCCCGCAAGCCUCUGUUGUGCUGGAACACAGAGAAAUAGCAGACGACCCUCUCCAGGAGCCCGGGGCUCAGCAGGGCAUUCCAGACACCACCUCAGAGCUGGCAGGGCAGCGAGACCACCUGCCUCAUUCUGCAGACCAGGGCACCUGGGCAGACUCUUUAGCUGUGGAACUCGACUUCCUGCUGGACAGCCAGAUACAGGAUGCCCUGGACGCCUCUGACUUCGAAGCCCCACCUGAGCAGCUCUUUCCUUCGGGGAACAAGCCGGGCCCUUGCUGGCCGGGCCCCAGCUCACAUGCCAAUGGAGACCCUGUUGCAGUGGCCAAGGCCCAGCCGAGGCCACCAGUGAGCCGUCCUCCAGCCUGCUGUGUGUGAGGAGGGCACCCUCUCCCCCGCACCAUGCCCGGGGUCUCCGCAGCCUGUCCCCUCCUCCCGUGCCCUCCCACAGCCCUCCUCGAAGCCAGCGCUGGGUGGCUGCCCUCUCUGUUACCUGGCACUUGAACCUGCCUCUCUGCAGAGGCGGCAGCUUAUCAAUUAUUUAUGGCCAAGUUUCUGUUUCUGUCUGGCAGGGGUGGAGGAGGGUUUGGGACUCAGCCCUUGGCUGUGUGUGGCCCCCACACCCUCCUCCUCCUUCUCCUCCCCUAGCAGAGGGCGGCUCUGUCCCUGCCUCCUGCCGUCACUCCCUGUGACUUGUACCUGCUGUGCCACUGGCCACCUCCCUUAGCCACACACACAACCUGCACGUGGACCAGAGGCAGUUCAUCAGAGCGGCCCGCUGUGGUUUGAGUGAAGAGCCGGGAGGGUUCACAUCUGAAUCUCCGACAGCGUCCCAGGGCCAAUGCAGCUCCCCUCCCCACCGUCCUGGAUGUCUGGAAGCUCCCAGAGGGCCCCGGGUCUGGUUUGGUGGCUUGAGGCUGAAUGACACACACAAGAGGCUAAGACCCAGGGGCUGCCAGACACCUCAGGGUGACCAAGGCAGGAGCAGCAGGACAGCAGUUUCCAUAGUGACAGCCCCGGAGGUGCUGCGAAGCCUGGGGCAUGGGCGGGUUUAGGGCGGGUGGCCCCCACUUACCCGCCUGGCCACCUGUACUGCCUGUGUCUGAGAGUGGCACCUGUUCUGUGGGGUGGGGGAGGUGUUCUGUGGCUCCUUGGCUCUUCCGUGAUUUUUUUUUUUUUUUUGAGACACAGUCUUACUCCCAUCACCCAGGCUGGAGUGCAGUGGUGCAACCUCAGCUCACUGCAGCCUCGAUCUCCCAGGCUCGCAUGAUUCUCCCACUUCAGCCCCCUAAGUAGCUGGGAUUACAGGACCUUCGUGGGGAUCCAGGCCUCUGAGGCCUCCAGGAUGGAGGAUGCCACCAACGUCGUGCGUGGCCUCAUCGUUGAGCUC